rnacentral:rRNA from 1 species
ACGGGUGAGUAACGCGUGAACAAUCUGUCCCAGACAGGGGGAUAACACUUGGAAACAGGUGCUAAUACCGCAUGAGACCACGGUAUCGCAUGGUACUGGGGUAAAAAGGAGCGAUCCGGUUUGGGGUGAGUUCGCGUCCGAUUAGCCAGUUGCGGGUAACGGCCCACCAAAGCGACGAUCGGUAGCCGAUCUGAGAGGAUGACCGGCCACAUUGGAACUGAGAGACGGUCCAAACUCCUACGGGAGGCAGCAGUGGGGAAGUAUUGGGCAAUGGGCGAAAGCCCUGACCCAGCAACGCCGCGUGAGUGAAGAAGGCCUUCGGGUUGUUAAAGCUCUGUUAUAGGGGACGAAGGGAGUGACGGUACCCUAUAAGGAAGCCCCGGCUAACUACGUGCCAGCCGCAGC